AUGAAGUUCUCAAGUGGCCUACUCUUCCUCCUGGUACUUCUCACCUUCAGCAUGGAGCAGCAACAAGCCAGAGAGAUCAAACGAUCAAUAAUUUUGGGAUCUCCGCAGAGAAGAACCACCCAAGAAAAGUCCACUGACAGUUGUUCAUGUCUUGCUGAAGUUCUUGCCUUAGAAAAUCUGAUAGAUAGUGGAAACUUCGGACAGGGUGGAAGAGGUGUUAAGGAGAGAAAUGAUUAAAAGAGUACAGUGGAGAGAAAAGAGAAGUGUGACUUCUCAGAAAACCUUUCCUUCUUAAUAAACCAUUCACAUUUCAAGAACUCA
rnacentral:lncRNA from 1 species